rnacentral:lncRNA from 1 species
ACGGAGAUGGGAUUGAGCAGUCUGGCUCGACUCCCAUGUUUGCCCAUCCAUGAUCAGCAGGCGAUUGCCCUAGGGCAUGGGGGCGAGGAGAUCCAGAAGCUCUCGGAGUUUGGAGGAGGCCGAAUAUCGAGUCGAGAUGGAGAUUGUUAGGAUUUGACGCCUCGAGAUUCAGCCCACAUUGAGCCCACAAUAAGGUUCGCGGUGAAAAAUGGAGUCCAACGAGACCAAGAUCACCUGAAUCGGAGCUCGGAUGGAGGAGAUACGAGCUUUUGAAGUCGGCACGAGAAUCGAGGCGGCGGAGGACC